GACAGAGGGUGCAAACGUUGCUCGGAAUCACUGGGCGUAAAGCGCACGUAGGCGGCUUCUUAAGUCAGGGGUGAAAUCCUGGAGCUCAACUCCAGAACUGCCUUUGAUACUGAGAAGCUUGAGUCCGGGAGAGGUGAGUGGAACUGCGAGUGUAGAGGUGAAAUUCGUAGAUAUUCGCAAGAACACCAGUGGCGAAGGCGGCUCACUGGCCCGGAACUGACGCUGAGGUGCGAAAGCGUGGGGAGCAAACAGG
rnacentral:rRNA from 1 species